rnacentral:rRNA from 1 species
UACGUAGGGUGCGAGCGUUGUCCGGAAUUAUUGGGCGUAAAAGAGCUUGUAGGCGGUUUGUCGCGUCUGCUGUGAAAAAUCCGGGGCUCAACCCCGGACUUGCAGUGGGUACGGGGCAGACUAGAGUGUGGUAGGGGAGACUGGAAUUCCUGGUGUAGCGGUGGAAUGCGCAGAUAUCAGGAGGAACACCGAUGGCGAAGGCAG